AGCAACGCGAAGAACCUUACCAGGUCUUGACAUCUUUUGACAACCCUAGAGAUAGGGCUUUCCCCUUCGGGGGACAGAGUGACAGGUGGUGCAUGGUUGUCGUCAGCUCGUGUCGUGAGAUGUUGGGUUAAGUCCCGCAACGAGCGCAACCCUUGAUUUUAGUUGCCAGCAUUCAGUUGGGCACUUUAAGAUGACUGCCGGUGACAAACCGGAGGAAGGUGGGGAGGACGUCAAAUCAUCAUGCCCCUUAUGACCUGGGCUACACACGUGCUACAAUGGACGGUACAAAGGGCUGCAAGACCGCGAGGUUUAGCCAAUCCCAUAAAACCGUUCUCAGUUCGGAUUGUAGGCUGCAACUCGCCUACAUGAAGCUGGAAUCGCUAGUAAUCGCGGAUCAGCAUGCCGCGGUGAAUACGUUCCCGGGCCUUGUACACCCCGCCCGUCACCCCACGAGAGUUUGUAACACCCGAAGUCGGUGAGGUAACCU
rnacentral:rRNA from 1 species